GACGAACCGUACGAACGUUAUUCGGAAUCACUGGGCUUAAAGGGUGCGUAGGCGGCGCGACAAGUUGGGUGUGAAAUCCCUCGGCUCAACCGAGGAACUGCGCCCAAAACUGUCGUGCUCGAGGGAGACAGAGGUGAGCGGAACUUAGGGUGGAGCGGUGAAAUGCGUUGAUAUCCUAAGGAACACCGGUAGCGAAAGCGGCUCACUGGGUCUCUGCUGACGCUGAGGCACGAAAGCUAGGGUAGCGAACGGG
rnacentral:rRNA from 1 species